ensembl:lncRNA
GCAGCAUGGGUAUGGCACAGAACUAUGGUUCCUAACGUGAUAAACCCGAGCCUGAGCCAUCUCUUCAGUGUGCACUGUGUGUGUGUAUCAGAGGAGUGAGUGUUAACAUGAAUGAGAGCGACUCUAGAAAGUGAAAAGCCUUGAAAUACGAAUAAGGGAAUUUGACCUUAUAUAGCAGGUGCUUGGAAGCUGGCACAGUUUCUUGAGCAGGGGAAGGAUGAUGAUGGUCAUGCUUUAGCAACCAGUGCUCUGGCAGGUUAUUGGAACUUCAGGAUGACCUUGUGCAACCUACACAUUUUACAGAUAAGAAAACCAUUUUGUAACUAAUUUAUCAACAGAACAAAGACGAACACCCCCAAAGUGAUCAUAUUAUGUUUAUAAAAAAGGUGAUGGCGCAUGAUAAUGUGAGAAAAAAGACCCAGUUAUGUAUGUGUAACUGGGUCACCAUGCUGUACAGUAGAAAACUGACAGAACACUGUAAACCAGCUAAAUGGAAAAAAAUAAAAAUCAUAUUAAAAAUAAAAUUAAAAAAAGAAAAAACUAUAAAUAAAAUACACACAAGAAAGAGCUUCUACACUUUGCCAUAUUAAAAGUUAGCUGACAUUGAAAUCUCACUAACAGUUAAACUUUCAAGGAUAUUGUAGAAGACUCAGUCCUCCCUGAGAAAAACUCCCUGAUAUUUGUCUUUACAGUUACUGUUCAUUCAACGACUUGGGCAGUUUUCAGGUCACUCCAUUCCCAACAGCUAUGUGACAUGCAUUAGCCGUGACCACUGAAGUGUGAAGAAAUUGAGCAACUAUAGAAGACAUUAGAGAACUAUAAAAAUGCAAGGACUGAAAGUGGCAAUGUAAGGUCGAAAUUAGCCUAUUUUAAUUCUUUUUAGGAUGACAUUUCACUAAUGUACAUAAACUUGUAAACAGCAGAACAGAACAUAAAGACUCACUCCCUUAAUUCUUACAAAGAAAUUUGUGAGCAUUUAUUAUGGUAAUAAUUGUUCGAAUUGAUUUGAAACCAUUAAUUCUUCCAGGGAUAUACUAGAUACUGUGAGUUGCCUAUUAAAUAACCAUUUCCCAUUUUUUAGCUGGUAUCCAUUAUCUUACCACAUAUAUAAAAUCAUUGGUAAAAGUUGACUGUACUCUCAACACCAGGGGUAGGAGAGAAAUAUGGGCCACAAUUUAGAGGGAGAUGAAAAAGGGGCACAACUUGAACUUGACAUCUUUAAUCAUCACACAAUUACCUCCUGUUAAACAAUUUCCAAUCCACAAAAAAAGUACAGUCUUUGAAGACUGAAUGAAGAACCUUAUUUAAUGGCAGAAACAAUCUCAGAGGAAUGAGGGCUGGGGGAGAAUAACUGAUUGUACAUAGUCAUUUUUCUUUGUAGAAAUAAAAUAGUGGUCAGAAAAGCAAAUGGCUAGAAUUCUACCUGCAAAGCAAAACUCUGUUCAGCCAGUAGAUUCCCUUAGUUCUCUAUUACAGUUUUCAAUGACACUGCAUCUGAAGAUAGCCUCUGCACAAAAAUCACAACAGAAGUUAACCUCACAUUGUCAGGAACUUUUAUGUAUUUAUUUUCUUAUUGAAUACUUAAUUAACUUAAGAAGCAUUAAUUGAAAAUCUACUGUGUAUAAGCUAUUAUCUGCAUUACUGGAAGGGCUGCAAAGGUUUACCCUAUGGGACUUUUGUUUUACUUAGGUAGAAAAGCAAGAAAAAAGUGAGUGAAAUAUAUGUAAAAUUAUGUCAAAAAGUAAUGAAGGAAGUCAAACACAGUUUUGUGAUGGAAAAUGAUGGGGAUGGAAUAGGGGCCCGUUCAUCAGGAUGAUUACAGAGAGCUUAAGGAGAUAUAUCUUAACUGAGAACUGAAUGAUGAGAGGGCAAAUGAAGACCAGAAUAAUUGCCUUCCUGUUAGAUGAAGACCCUAUAUUCAAACCCCCAUAUGGGAAAGAGAGGAAAUCUAUUUGUCAGAUUUGUCACUGAAUCCUCCCAGUACCUGGAAACUACCGAAUACCUAUUAAGUAUUCGCUAAAUAAUGUUUAAGUAAGUUAAUAAAUCCUGCUACUUUUUUACACUUUGCAAGAUUGAAAAAGAGAGGCGUUUGUUAUUUCAAACGGCCAUGUACACAUUUGAGGAAGUUGGAAGUCAUAGGUGAACCAUGUGCUUGCUUGAGUUUUGUCAUGGCUUUUAUUCUGUAAUAUACUGUUCAUUAAUUGAAUUUACCAGUGUGUUCUCAAACCCACAGACUGUUUUGUUUUAUUGAUUUCUAUUAAAUAUGAGAAAUAACUACUAAUUUCAUAACAAACUAUGUGGGGCUUUUAUUUAAACUCUAAGUGGAUGCAGAAGUGCUGAAUGCUUGACAUGAGAGGAUGGGAGCCUAUGAAAAUGAGCAUUUAUGUAGGGAAAAAAACAACAUGGGAAAGCUUUGCUGCAUAGGCUAGGAGUAACAUUUAUUUAACUGCAUGUGAUGAAUACCACUUAGGUGCUUGUUAAGUUUAUAAUAUUCCUAAUGAAUUAUGGAAAAUAUUUAACUUGGAAAAUAAAUAAGAGAAGUGAUGAAUUGUGAAUAUUGAUGUUGAAAAUACUCAGAUAUGUAUUAAAAUAUUUUUAGCAUAUUGUAAUUUCUGAAAAGGCUGCAACUAUUUCUUGUUGCAAAUUUCCCACCUGAUUAGGUAGAAUAAACCCUUGAAAUUCAUCUCAGAGCAGAAUCUCUUGGCAAACACAAGGAGUGUUUCUUAUCAGAUGAUUGAGUCUGUCAUUCUACUACUAUGGUAGUUUCACAUUUGUUACCAAAGCAAAAUCUAAAAUUACUUUUGUGUUUCUACCUACCUCUCAGUACAUAAAUAAUAAAUACCAGAGAUGGUUUUGCCUGAAACCUAGAUUUAACUUGAGGUAGAGAUUUUCUAUUUAAAAGAAAAUAUGCUAUUUGAGUACAGAAAUCUAGCUUUAAAUCACCUCUUCCCAACGCAAUGUUCUUCUGUUGUUUAUGUAUUUCUUCCUUGUAACUGUUGAAUUCUUAUUGAAAUUCAUAAUUUAAAUUACUACCAAGGACCCCAACAGUCUUAAGUUUGCUUCAUAUAGUGCUGAAAAUAACUUUCAUAACUUCAAAUUUUUCCUACAUGAUACCAUGUUCUAUCUGUAAGAUAUGUAAUUCAAUGUGGACAGCAAAUGGCUUAUUAACUAGAUAUGAAAGGUAGGCAAUAGAAAGGAAAGAAAUCCCCAUUGUGGCUUGGCUGUAACAAACACAGCUAAUAUCCAUGAGGAUGUGGGUUUGAUCCCUGGCCUCACUCAGCCUUGCGGUGGUAUGUGGUGUAGGUCGAGGAUGCAGGCUCAGCUCCUGCAUUGCUGUGUCUGUGGUGUAGGCUAGCAGUUACAGUUCCAAUUCGACUCCUAGGCUGGGAACUUCCUGGCCAUGGAUGCGACCCUAAAAAGAUUAAAAAAAAAAAAAA